UGCCAGUGAUGUAUACAAAUUGCACGUAUUAUCUGAUGAACUGAUGACGAUGCAUAUUUUGUCACUACCGCUGAGGCA